UUCUGCAUAUUAUCCGUCAAAAUUUCAACAUCACUUUCCUUUUCCAUCAUGCCAUGCACCCGAACAAGGCUCCCUGUGCCUGAGGCUGCCAAACAGCCCCACAGCAUGAUGCUCCCCCCGCCAUGUUUAACUGUGGGAACCGUGUUCCUAGGGUUGAAGGCCUCUCCUUUUCUUCGCCAAACAUAAGCAACAUCCGUGUGCCCAACCAGUUCCAGUUUAGUCUCAUCAGACCAAAACGCAGACUUCCAAAACUCAUCUUUAUCUUUCAAAUGUUCACGGGCCAACCUCAGUCUGGCUGUGAUGUGCCGCUCUUUGAGUAAAGGGGUUCUUCUGGGAUGAUGGCCCUGAAGCCCACCAUGAUGAAGAGCCCUCACGUCUGUGUUCCUUGAAACAUCAACUCAGGAAGAGUCCAGGUCAGCAACAAUCUUCAUGGCAGAUGUCCGCGGGUUGUUGCUGACAUCUCGGACUAUUUUCCUCUCCAGAGUUCUUGCGUGCGCUUACGACCACGCACAGGUUUGUUUCUUACAGAAUUUGUCUCCUUGUACUUGCAACGUACAGGAAAGGCUAUGCUGCCAUUUCCAAGCAUUUGGAAAUGGCAGUAUAGCCUUCCCCCUUAUCAUGAGCCUCCAUGUUUUUCUUUCUGAGCUCAAGACUUAUUUCCUUUGUCUUUGGCAUGGUGAGUAUAUGUAGUCGUAGUAGUAGUUUUCAGUAGCCUCUCAAUAAUGUGUUCAAGUUCAUUGGAGUCCUUUUACGGUGAUUGAAUGCUCAGGUGUUGUUAGGAAGCCAAUUGACUGCACAGGUGUUGUUUGAAAGCGGAUUGGUUAAUUAGGUGUGUUUUGAAAGCAAAUAUUCACAUGGGGGCUAAUAUUUUUGACCACCCCAUUUUUCACUAUAUUUGAUAUAAAGCAAGAGUAAAAAUGUAUUUUAUAUUCCUAAAUGUACCAAACGCUACUGAAUAGCAUUGGUGAAUGUUUGAUUAUAUCAAGUUUUAAUCAAUGCUGCGAACAUUGGGAAGAAUUUUAGGAAAAUGUUCCAUAAUUCCUAGGGUCAAAAAGCAUUGUGCAAAUAACAGUGGGCUAACCUAACGCCACCUGACCAAAUCUAAUUCAUGCUAACCUUGCCUAAUUUAACCAAGAUUAGCCCAACACCUAUCCUAUGCAAGCCUAAUGUAUCUGAGGCUUUGUGCCAGACAUGUUGUAGCCCAAUGUGUUAUGUUAUGUGUGUUAUGUGGGCAGCUGUUUCUGUGUGUGUCUCUCCCCUUUUCCCCCACUGUCUGUGUGUGUGUGUGUGUGUGUAUGGCCGGUCGAUGUACCUCUCUGCACAGCUGCUGGCUAUUCCGCUUAGCAACUCUACAGUAUUUAGUCCUGGGCGAAGCUCACCACCGCCGCCAGAUCGAUGCACCUACCAGUGUGACCUACGCUUCCAGACCUGUUUCCGUGGCUCAUCACGCUCAAGCCUUCCUACCUUCCCGCUUGGAUUCCAGAAAGAAAGUUUGGCUCCACCACUGCCGGCCCUCCUCAGCCCCUAUCCAGCUCGGAGUCAGCCUACCUUGUGUUUUCUGUCCUUGGCUGCUGGUGCCAUCCCCAAUCCAUGGGUCGGACUGAGAGAGCCAACCAGGACCUAGAAGCAUCCCUUCGUUGUGUGGCUGCUCAGCGUCCGUCCUCCUGUGUCAACAUCUGCCGUGGAUAGAGUACGCCCACAACUCCCUGAUCACCUCCGCCACUGGCUUCUCACCUUCCGAGGUCGCCUUGGGAUACCAACACCCCUCCUUGUUUCCUGCUCAGGAGAGGGAACUGGCUGUUCCCUUGGUUCAAACGGACCUAAACUAAAGU